GAUGAAGAACGCAGCGAAAUGCGAUAAGUAGUGUGAAUUGCAGAAUUCAGUGAAUCAUCGAAUCUUUGAACGCACAUUGCGCCCCUUGGUAUCCCGAGGGGCAUGCCUGUUCGAGCGUCAUUUCACCACUCAAGCCUGGCUUGGUGUUGGGCGACGUCCUCUUUGGGGACGCGCCUCGAAACGCUCGGCGGCGUGGCACCGGCUUUAAGCGUAGCAGAAUCUUUCGCUUUGGAAGUCGGGGCCCCGUCUGCCGGAAGACUUGCUCGCAAGGUUGACCUCGGAUCAGGCAGGGAUACCCGCUGAACUUAAGCAUAUCAAUAAGCGGAGGA
rnacentral:misc_RNA from 1 species